UAAUAAACCGGAGGAAGUGGGGAUGACGUCAAGUCCUCAUGGCCCUUAUGGGUAGGGCUUCACACGUCAUACAAUGGUCGGUACAGAGGGUUGCCAAGCCGCGAGGCGGAGCCAAUCCCACAAAGCCGAUCGUAGUCCGGAUUGUUCUCUGCAACUCGAGAGCAUGAAGUCGGAAUCGCUAGUAAUCGCAGGUCAGCAUACUGCGGUGAAUACGUUCCCGGGUCUU
rnacentral:rRNA from 1 species